rnacentral:rRNA from 1 species
UACGGAGGGUGCGAGCGUUAAUCGGAAUUACUGGGCGUAAAGCGCGCGUAGGUGGCUUGAUAAGCCGGUUGUGAAAGCCCCGGGCUCAACCUGGGAACGGCAUCCGGAACUGUCAAGCUAGAGUGCAGGAGAGGAAGGUAGAAUUCCCGGUGUAGCGGUGAAAUGCGUAGAGAUCGGGAGGAAUACCAGUGGCGAAGGCGGCCUUCUGGACUGACACUGACACUGAGGCUCGAAAGCGUGGGUAGCAAACAGG